rnacentral:snoRNA from 1 species
GAACAAUGAUGAAAAGGUUUUACUACUGACCUUUAUAACUAUGAAGGUUUCUACUGAGCUCA